rnacentral:rRNA from 1 species
AGGACGAACGCUGGCGGCGUGCUUAACACAUGCAAGUCGAACGGUGAAGUCGGUGCUUGCACUGACGGAUCAGUGGCGAACGGGUGAGUAACACGUGAGUAACCUGCCCCUGACUCUGGGAUAACCCCGGGAAACCGAGCUAAUACCGGAUACGAACCACUCAGGCAUCUGAGAGGUUGGAAAGAUUUAUCGGUCAGGGAUGGACUCGCGGCCUAGUCAGCUUGUUGGUGGGUAAUGGCCCACAAGGCGACGACGGGUA